UGGGGAAUCUUGCGCAAUGGCCGAAAGGCUGACGCAGCGACGCCGCGUGAGGGAUGAAGGUCUUCGGAUCGUAAACCUCUGUUGCCCGGGACGAACCGGCGGUUUCGACCGCCUUGACGGUACCGGGUGAGGAAGCACCGGCUAACUCUGUGCCAGCAGCCGCGGUAAUACAGAGGGUGCGAGCGUUGUCCGGAAUCACUGGGCGUAAAGGGCGCGUAGGCGGUUUGCUAAGCGUGCGGUGAAAGCUCGGGGCUCAACCCCGAGUCGGCCGUGCGAACUGGUGGACUGGAGCAUGUCAGAGGCAGGCGGAAUUCCGGGUGUAGCGGUGGAAUGCGUAGAGAUCCGGAAGAACACCGGUGGCGAAGGCGGCCUGCUGGGACAUUGCUGACGCUGAGGCGCGACAGCGUGGGGAGCAAACA
rnacentral:rRNA from 1 species